rnacentral:rRNA from 1 species
AUUGAACGCUGGCGGCAUGCUUUACACAUGCAAGUCGAACGGCAGCACAGGGAGCUUGCUCCCGGGUGGCGAGUGGCGCACGGGUGAGUAAUACAUCGGAACGUGUCCUGUUGUGGGGGAUAACUGCUCGAAAGGGUGGCUAAUACCGCAUGAGACCUGAGGGUGAAAGCGGGGGAUCGCAAGACCUCGCGCAAUUGGAGCGGCCGAUGCCCGAUUAGCUAGUUGGUGAGGUAAAGGCUCACCAAGGCGACGAUCGGUAGCUGGUCUGAGAGGACGACCAGCCACACUGGGACUGAGACACGGCCCAGACUCCUACGGGAGGCAGCAGUGGGGAAUUUUGGACAAUGGGGGCAACCCUGAUCCAGCCAUGCCGCGUGCAGGAUGAAGGCCUUCGGGUUGUAAACUGCUUUUGUCAGGGACGAAAAGGACCGUGUUAAUACCAUGGUCUGCUGACGGUACCUGAAGAAUAAGCACCGGCUAACUACGUGCCAGCAGCCGCGGUAAUACGUAGGGUGCAAGCGUUAAUCGGAAUUACUGGGCGUAAAGCGUGCGCAGGCGGUUCUGUAAGACAGAUGUGAAAUCCCCGGGCUCAACCUGGGAAUUGCAUUUGUGACUGCAGGACUAGAGUUCAUCAGAGGGGGGUGGAAUUCCACGUGUAGCAGUGAAAUGCGUAGAUAUUUGGAAGAACACCAAUGGCGAAGGCAGCCCCCUGGGAUGCGACUGACGCUCAUGCACGAAAGCGUGGGGAGCAAACAGG